ensembl:lncRNA
GGCCUGCUCAACUUAAGAGGGAUCCAUUUGGAGAUGUUUCUGAGGAGUACAAGCAGGAUCUCGGAGUGGACGAGCGCAGGCUGCUGACUGGCUUCUUCUCCAAAAACAGUGCUGACUCUUUCCUGCUGGAGAUGCAUGAGUUCCUGAUACUACUGCUCAGCAAGCCCAGGGCUACAGACACCUUCAAACCUGAGUGGGGUCUAAAAGACACGCUGGUGUCCUACAUGGAGCGCAAAGACAUGGAUGUUCCCCCUGAUGUGGAGGAGCUGUUCCCAGAGGAAAUUUCUUUGUCUCAUUAUGUUGAAGCUUGGAAAUUCUGUGUCAGUUUCAAACAGGAGAGGACAUUAAGAAUUUAAGACAAAAUUCACUUGAUGUUAAUAUUCCUCAAGUCAUGUUUACAAUUAUUAUGAAUCAACAUGGUUGAUUUAGGCAAAAGAUUGUGGGAUAAGUGGUCACUUUUUUUUCCUAGUUCUGUUCACUCCCAUCUUAAUUUUUGCACUUUAUUUGUCACAUGAUGGUUGUUAAACAACAAUCAAGAAUAUUUAUCUCAGGUAAAGAUGUGUGACUUAUACUAUGUUUGUUAUAUUUCCAACAUGUCUUACUUUUCUAAUUGUAGCCAACUUAAAAAAAAAAAAAAAAACUACGUUAAUUGUACUUGGUUGCUUUUGUUUUUUUUACUUGAUAAUUGCACUACUUUGAUUGUUUGCAUUACAGGGAUUUUUUUUUUUCUAUUUUAUUUGGCACCACUUCCUUCUAUGCUGCUGGUGCAGUGGGCAGCAACAGCCACUCUCUGUGGACCCAUUUCAGAUCUUGAGCUAGGCUUGGUCAGGAUGUGGAUGUUUUCCCCAUGUGAAUGUUGUAAAUGUAUGGUUUACUCAAAAUGUAGCAGAAUGUAUAGAAAAAUAAAAAAAGAUAAUUUAAUUAAAUUAGAUUGUAAGCCAAAUGUGAUUGUUAUUAAGCCCUCUGCCACCUUUUAUAGUUGUAUAGCCACGACUUCUAUCAGAUCAUGAUGACAUAAACCCAC